GCCCGCAUAGAUCAAUGCUAGAUCAUCUCUCUGCAAUAUGAUUUCAUCUAGUCUGCUAUCGAGAAGACGGAGGUUCGAAUCCUCCUGCGGGCA